CUUCUAUAACUGUAUUUACUAAAAGAGAUGCGCAAUUUUACCACGUAGCAAUCUGGGAAAAUGAUAUCUGUCCGUUUCAGUUAAUCGCUUAUCAAACUGCUUCCAGUUAACACAUUUAUUAGCAUCACGUAUUAUGAAGCUUAGCAUGUGCAAAUGUUAAUAUAAGAAUAUUCGUUUCUUCGGAUGCCGUGCGAUGAACUGGAGUCCCGUCCGGAAUGUGUCCCUGCCUUGCUGAAGAUGCUGCGGGAUUAGGCUUCGGUCUUUGUGAACUUGACUUGACUAAUGGGGUUCUGAAUGUUUGUUGGGUCUACGUAAUUGAAGGAUGACGAAACACUUGUUAACUGUUGGACAUUGGUUAGUCAUAGUCCGGAAAUUCGAAGGGACUCAGCGAUCGCCUCCGACUCACGUGAAGAGCACGAAGGUUUUACCUAAUAAGCUCAAACAGACUGAAUGACUGACAGCUCUCCUCCAUAAUGUCACUUCUGUUGUUUGUCCUCCUGAACUCACCUUUUCCUUCCUGGCCGAUAUAUGACCCAAAGACUGGACAUCUUGUGCAGCCUGAAUUGGACUCCAGUCUGAGAAGAUUCAAUUUUGCAUUCACACACUUUGUUUUUAUUUAAAAUCAAUUCCAAUUAUAUGGGGUUUCCCAAUGGGUGACCCAACACUCUGACUGUCUCUGCUUUUCUUAUUACAGGAAUUAUUGGGGAGGACUUUUAUUUAUGUGUCUUGGGGUAGGACAGAAGAUUAUUAAUGAAUAAUACUAAAUGUAGAGAUCCAAGACUGAAGGAUGAUGCAUUUCAUGACUUUUUACAUACAGGUUUUUAUUAUCAACAAUCACAUUAAUUGGGCUAGUGAGGCCAGGAAAAGGCUGUUUCCAAAGUCAUUCUGGAUAACCUGGAGAAAUAUCCAUGCAGUCAUUGGGAAUAUAUAUAGACUCCGCAGGCUGCAGAAGUGCAGGAAUCAAAGUCCAGCAGAUAGAACUAUCAGUGCUAACCACUUCCACACCAUGCCACUUACUAGGAAUUUAAUAAUAUCCAUAUUCCAAUACGUCAUGGUGAAACACCAUGUGUUAUAAACCUGUUCAAAGUUCUACAUCUGUUUUGAUGAUUCAGAAAAUGCACAGGUUCAUUGCUGAAAAUGAAAGAACGGCUCUUUAAAGUUGUGCAACAUUUGUUGGAUUUGAUUAAUAUAUGCAAAAAGAACAGUUUGAUACCUGCCAAACAUCACACUUCAGAUCAUGUGCCAUCUAUUGACCUGAACCUUUCAGUGCAGAAGGCUGAAACCAGCCAUUGAAGCUAUGCAGUGCAUUGAACAAGAGCCACCUGGUUUGGCUAUCUGAAAAAUAAAAUCAAUAUUAGAUAUAA